ensembl:snRNA U6 U6 spliceosomal RNA
GUGCUCGCUUCGGCAGCACAUAUACUAAAAUGGAAACCAUAUAGAGAAGAUUAGCAUGGCCCCCGCACAAGUUUGACAUGCAAAUUCAUGUAGCGUUCCAUAUUUUU